rnacentral:pre_miRNA from 1 species
CAACUACUCCCUCUAUCCCAAAUUUCUUGUCUUAGAUUUUUCUAGAUACGGAUGUAUCUAAUACUAAAAUGUGACUUGAUACAUCCAUAUCUAGACAAAUCUAAGACAAGAAUUUUGGGACGGAGGGAGUACUUU